rnacentral:rRNA from 1 species
AGCGAACGCUGGCGGCAGGCCUAACACAUGCAAGUCGAACGAACCCUUCGGGGUUAGUGGCGGACGGGUGAGUAACACGUGGGAACGUGCCUUUAGGUUCGGAAUAACUCAGGGAAACUUGUGCUAAUACCGAAUGUGCCCUUCGGGGGAAAGAUUCAUCGCCUUUAGAGCGGCCCGCGUCUGAUUAGCUAGUUGGUGAGGUAAUGGCUCACCAAGGCUACGAUCAGUAGCUGGUCUGAGAGGAUUACCAGCCACAUUGGGACUGAGACACGGCCCAAACUCCCACGGGAGGCAGCAGUGGGGAAUCUUGCGCAAUGGGCGAAAGCCUGACGCAGCCAUGCCGCGUGGAUGAUGAAGGUCUUAGGAUUGUAAAAUCCUUUCACCGGUGAAGAUAAUGACUGUAGCCGGAGAAGAAGCCCCGGCUAACUUCGUGCCAGCAGCCGCGGUAAUAC